rnacentral:sRNA from 1 species
AGCAGCCGCGGUAAUUCCAGCUCCAAUAGCGUAUAUUAAAGUUGUUGCAGUUAAAAAGCUCGUAGUUGAAUUUCGGGAUCAGCAGGUUGGUCGUGCCUACGGUAUGAACUGGCCUUGCUGAUUCCUCCCUCUUGAUGAGCCGUAAUGCCAUUAAUUUGGUGUUGCGGGGAAUCAGGACUGUUACUUUAGAAAAAUUAGAGUGUUUAAAGCAGGCAAGCGCUUGAAUACAUUAGCAUGGAAUAAUGAAAUAGGACGUUUGAUCCUAUUUUGUUGGUUUCUAGGAUUGACGUAAUGAUUAAUAGGGA